rnacentral:rRNA from 1 species
UCCAGACUCCUACGGGAGGCAGCAGUCGAGCCUCCUUCACAAUGGGGGCCCCCCUGAUGGUGCGCCGCCGCGUGGGGGCAUGAAGGUCUUCGGAUUGUAACCCCCUGUCAUGUGGGCGCCCAUUAAAACGCUCGUACCACAAGCGGCCGAGACGGCUACCUCUGUGCCAGCAGCCGCGGUAAUACCGCGGUCUCAAGCGUUGUUCGGAAUCACUGGGCGUAAAGCGGGCGGCGGCUGUUUCGGAAGGCGUGUGUGAAAGGCGCGGGCUCAACCCGCGGACGGCACAUGAUACUGCGAGACUAGAGGAAGGGAGGGGGAACCGGAAUUCUCGGGGGAGCAGUGAAAGGCGGAGAUAUCGAGAGGAACACUCGUGGCGAAGGCGGGUUCCGGGACAUUAACUGACGCGGAGGCACGAAGGCCAGGGGAGCGAAAGGGAUUAGAUACCCGGGUA